ensembl:lncRNA
UGUGCCCACACCGUGCUGGGAUGGAAGGUCCCACGCUGCAUGGCUGGAGAAACCACUGCAGCCUCUGGGUUUCAGUGUGGGGCUCCUUCUGUUUCCUCAUGAGAUUUUGCUCUCAUCAACACAAGCUGGGAAAAGCCACCAAGCAUUCUUUGGCAUGGGAAUGCACCGGCACUCAAUUUGAAGACCUUUAUCAAACCACCCAGUGCAGCUCCAGCUUUGGUUCCAAUCACACACCCAGGGUGGGAGUGGCUGGGAUAGAUGUGCCGCAACCAGACCAAAGCGCUGAAUAACUCCCAGGGAGUGAUGACGAAUCUGAU